GUUGUAGCAGAUAAACCCUUGCUUGUUCCUUCGUUCUAUGUGUUGUAGCAAAGAAACCUUAGCCGUUAAUAAGAUUAUGUCCCUCAUCAUUGUUGUACCUCCCUCGACUGACCAAAGUCACUGUUGACGACGUUGGUCACUGUCGUAGUGUCGCCGGUAAGAACUAAUGUCGUAAACCACUUCUCUUCUUCUUUCUCCCAAUUCGCCAAACAUCACUUCUCCACCAGACUCUCUUAUUUUUGGACCUUCCAUGGUCGACUAACCUCAUCUCCUUCCACCGCCACCACCUCUUCUUCUCGGAAGUGGUUUUCAAAGUCUGCCUUCGAUUUCAAGAUGAAGUUCAGUCUCCAAUACGAGUUCGGUGACUCCAAUUUCUCCAACGCCAACAAAUUCUCUUCUUGCCUCAAGACUUGGAGAUGCGGCGGUCAAGUUUCUUUUCUCCUCUCUCUUUUUUUCUCACUUUUUGAUCCUUAAUCUAAAGCCAUUCACAGCUUAGCAUGUAGUUAUUUGUUAGUUAUUCAUCCCUUUGCAUUUUGUUAUUUGCCUAGAACCUAUUCCACGAAAUGUCGGAACCACUGUCACUGUUAUUCUCUCUUUGAAAGCUAGUAUUGUUUGUUCUAGAGAGAGACAAUGGAUACUGUCACAGUUAUUCCCUUUGGGAUCGAUUUUUCUGGCUAAGUGGGAAAUUGUCUAUUGUUGAUGGCAACAUGGCAAAAGCUUUUGAAGAGUUCUGUAUUGCUUUGUCACUGGCCAAGAGAGAAAAUGUGGAAGAUUCCCUCUGUUCAGUCUCUCGUCCACAUGUAAAAGAACUAAACUUUGAUAAUGAAAUUAAUAUAUUGAAGGUCAAUUUCUUGAUGGAGAAUUCUGUGAUUAAGAUGAUGGAGCAUCAAAAGUAUUUGGGAUAAAAAGGAUGAAAAGAUAACUUCCACUGAGCUCGUGGCUGUAGAUGUUCUAAUGGAAGCAUGCCAAAAGAAGUUCAGGAACUAUAUGUCAUUCUCCUUCCUGAAAAAUGCAUGAGACAAUUAGAACUUACCUAAUAGUUAUCUAUCACUAGCCUAAUAAUGAACAUAACAUCUAGAAUAGUAUUAAUUACUCCUUCUUGAAUAAACGUCAUCAACUUGAUAAACUAAUUUCCUGUUGUAUUAUAAUUGAAAAAGUCACAUCCUCAUUACUUGUUCUGUUUGCUUGUGGAUAUUUUUGGCUCAGAUUUCUCAAAGAAAUACAGGAACUUGAUGGGUUCUACCUA